UACGUAGGGUGCGAGCGUUAAUCGGAAUUACUGGGCGUAAAGCGUGCGCAGGCGGUUUUGUAAGCCAGAUGUGAAAUCCCCGGGCUUAACCUGGGGAAUGGCAUUUGGGACUGCAAGGCUUGAGUGCGGCAGAGGAGACUGGAAUUCCUGGUGUAGCAGUGAAAUGCGUAGAUAUCAGGAGGAACACCGAUGGCGAAGGCAGGUCUCUGGGCUGACACUGACGCUCAUGCACGAAAGCGUGGGGGAGCAAACAGG
rnacentral:rRNA from 1 species